rnacentral:tRNA from 1 species
GCAAUGGUGGUUCAGUGGUAGAACUCUUGCCUUGUGUACAGGAAACCUUAGUUUGCUUCCUGGCCAAGGCA